rnacentral:lncRNA from 1 species
CUUCCAUAAAUAACGACCGGUCCCUAAAUGGUAUUAUAAUCUGAUACAGUCAUCCAAAUAUCAAAAAUUAAAACAUACAUUUCGGCAAGAUUCCAAUCCCAAAUAGUAUAAUUACUGUGGGAUUGGUAUUAUAGUCUGACACAGUCAUCCAUUUAUAAAAAAUUAAAACAUGCAUUUCAGGAAAAUUUCCAAUCCCAACUAGUAUAAUUACUAUGGGAUUGGUAUUAUAGUCUGAUACAGUCACCCAGAUA